ACAAUGCCCGCGUGAGGGAUAGCAGUGGAAAGCCCGCAGACCAAUGGAGUGAUAACGUAAUUGAUCGAGGACUUGCAACGAAUAGCCCGGCCCUUG
rnacentral:snRNA from 1 species